AAAAGGCACAAUUUAAAAUACCAGUUAGGAGCAAUACAGAGAAGAUUGGCAUGGCCCCUGCGCAAGGAUGACACGCAAAAUUGUGAAGCAUUCCAUACUUUC